rnacentral:rRNA from 1 species
AUACGAAAGGUGCAAGCGUUGUUCGGAUUUACUGGGCGUAAAGAGAGUGUAGGUGGUUUAUUAAGUCGGAUGUGGAAUCCCGGGGCGCAACCUCGGAACUGCAUUCGAUACUGAUAGGCUAGAGUUUGGGAGGGGUAAGCGGAAUUCCGUGUGUAGCAGUGAAAUGCGUAGAUAUACGGAGGAACACCUGAGGCGAAGGCGGCUUACUGGACCAAUACUGACACUGAGACUCGAAAGCGUGGGUAGCAAACAGGAUUAGAAACCCUAGUAGUCC